ensembl:snRNA U6 U6 spliceosomal RNA
UUGCUUUUGGAAGCACAUAUUGUAAAAUUGGAAUAAUAUGGAGAAAAUUAGCAUAGUCCCUUUGCAAGAAUGACAUCCAAAUUCAUGAUGUCCAUAUUUAA